AACGUAGGACACAAGCGUUAUCCGGAGUUACUGGGCGUAAAGGGCGUGUAGGCGGAUCGGUAAGUCUACUCUGAAAGCUCCUGGCUAAACUGGGAGAGGCGAGUGGAGACUGUCGGUCUAGAGUGAGGAAGAGGAAAGUGGAAUUCCGCGUGUAGUGGUGAAAUGCGUAGAGAUGCGGAGGAACACCAGUGGCGAAAGCGGCCUACUGGGCCGGACCUGACGCUGAGACGCGAAGGCGUGGGGAGCGAACGGG
rnacentral:rRNA from 1 species